rnacentral:piRNA from 1 species
UCCAGGAUCAUCUAUGUUACCAUAAAUGGCA